UUGAGCAGAAAUUAAUCAGUUCGAAGCUGGCGACAUUUCAGGUACUUGUGAUUCCAGUAGUAAAACUACAUUGGACACUGCCUUCCCGUCUCCUGUGCUAAUGAAACCGAGGCGAUCAUGCGACACAUUGAGAUUUAGAUUCCAUUAUAUCUUAGCAAAUAUUCAGAAAGCCAGCACCCACAUGAGAAGCCAACAGCUGACAGUCACCCAAGAAGCUGACACCCUGCCCAGACAGCACGGACCUUCCACUCACUCUUAGACAACCAGCCAGACGAAUAUACUGC
rnacentral:lncRNA from 1 species